AGCUGUUUAGUUAAUUA
rnacentral:tRNA from 1 species